rnacentral:rRNA from 1 species
UACAGAGGGUGCAAGCGUUGUUCGGAAUUAUUGGGCGUAAAGGGCGCGUAGGCGGUGCUGUAAGUCUGUGGUGAAAUCUCUGGGCUCAACUCAGAGUCUGCCAUAGAAACUGCAGUGCUGGAGUGUGGGAGAGGUGAGUGGAAUUCCCGGUGUAGCGGUGAAAUGCGUAGAUAUAGGAAGGAACACCAGUGGCGAAGGCGACCACCUGGGCUCAUACUGACACUGAGGUGCGAAAGCGUGGGGGAGCAAACAGG